rnacentral:pre_miRNA from 1 species
UUGGAUGAAAACAAUGUGGAACCUAUACUUUAGAAAUGGAACCAAUAUAAAGUGGUGGGACAUAUAUUGAUUUCAUCAA